UGCAGCCUGGAUCCCGUGUUACUGUGGCUGGCAGCUGCAGCUCCGAUUUGACUUGAACCCUAGCCUGGGAACUUCCAUAUGUGGCAGGUGUGGCCCUAAAAAGAAAGAAAAAAAAAGACUUCUCCAUCUUGUUCCUUUUUUGGGCUGCCUAAUAUUCCCCUCCACAGCUCCGCCAACUAUUAGGUUGUCUCCCAUUCUCACUUCUUAUUCACAAUGCUUUAGCGAACACUCUCUUACACACCUCUUUUGUGUGUGAGCAAAACUCUGUCUCAGACAGUGGUUUUCAAACUGCAGGGCAGGGCCUGUCACUGGACAUCGACUUAGGGAGUUACAUCCGCGUGGUAAAAAAUGAAAGAGAAUUUGAGAAAACUAUAGCAGAGUAUAUUUCUCUGAUAAGAUUUAAAUGGAUACCUGCUGUCUGAAAGGUGUUUGCGUUUAUUCGUGGGAGGUGACAGCAGCGUGUUUGGUAGGAGGUGUUGUGUUUCUAGGGCAGGGGUUGGCAAACCUGUCCUGCAAAAAGGGCCAGUGAGUAGCUGUGGCUUGUCGCUAUAUGGCAGACACGGCCAGGGACCAUAUGUCCAUGAAUGGGUGCCAACAAAACUAUUUACAAAGAUGAGCUGCCGCUUGCAUUUGGCCCAAGGGCUCCUAGUUUGCCAAGCCUUGUAACAUAGACCAUCUGAAGCCUGGCAUAUAGUUAAGAAGCCUGGCACCCCCAAAAUGCUCCCUCACUGUUUCCAAAUAGUCCCUGAGGAGGGUAAUCCACCUUGAGAACCUCCGGGAUAAAUACUUAAGAAUUGUCUUUAAUAAAGCAGAAGGAGGAGUUCCCGUCGUGGCGCGGUGGUUAACGAAUCUGACUAGGAACCAUGAGCCACAACAGGAACUCCUCUAUCAUCUUUUUUCUUCCAAAAGGACCGUGGCUUUGCUUUGCAUUCCACUCACUCGUUUCCUCAUGAUCCCUCUGGGUCUUGAGAUUUUGUGGUUUCAAAGGCUGGUGUGUUGGGAGCGGCUGGCAGUCUGGUUCUAGAGGAGGCAGUGCUAUGAGAGGCUGGGGAGGAGCGGGGAG
rnacentral:lncRNA from 1 species